rnacentral:lncRNA from 1 species
CUUGUUGUUACUCUUACGCAUAUUAAAGAGGUUGGGUAAAAAUAUUCGAUAGAGCAAGCAUUCAAACGCAAUGUCAUGCAAUUAAAACAUGGAACAGAUGAACAAUGACGGAAAGCAGAUGGUGUAGUCUCUCAAUGCAACACAUACAUCUACAUAGAAGUCACAAUGUUGCAAUAUUGAAUGCAUAUAAGUGCUAAAGAGAUGGGAUUCGACCAGGCA